rnacentral:siRNA from 1 species
CGUCCGAUUUUCAAGCUGGGC